GACGUAGGGCGCGAGCGUUGUCCGGAUUUAUUGGGCGUAAAGAGCUCGUAGGCGGCUUGUCGCGUCGGCUGUGAAAUCCCGUGGCUCAACUGCGGGUCUGCAGCCGAUACGGGCAGGCUAGAGUUCGGUAGGGGAGACUGGGAAUUCCUGGUGUAGCGGUGAAAUGCGCAGAUAUCAGGAGGAACACCGAUGGCGAAGGCAGGCU
rnacentral:rRNA from 1 species